ACGUGUAAUCCUGUGUGAAUCAGCCGGGCCCAUCCGGCAAGGCUAAAUACUCGUAAGAGACCGAUAGUGAACCAGUACCGUGAGGGAAAGGUGAAAAGCACCCCUGUUAGGGGAGUGAAAAAGAUCCUGAAACCGUGCGCCUACAAGCGGUCGGAGCGCCCAUUGGGCGUGACGGCGUGCCUUUUGCAUAAUGAACCUACGAGUUGCCGUCACCGGCAAGGUGAAGGGGCAGGAGCCCCUCAGCCGCAGCGGAAGCGAGUCUUAAAAGGGCGCAGGAGUCGGUGGUGGCAGACGCGAAACCGAGUGAUCUACACUUGUCCAGGAUGAAGUCCCGGUAACACGGGAUGGAGGUCCGCACCAAUAAGCGUUGAAAAGCUUCUGGAUGAGGUGAGUGUAGGAGUGAAAGGCCAAUCAAACUCGGAGAUAGCUCGUACUCCCCGAAAGGCAUUUAGGUGCCGCCUGUGGAGUUCCCGGCGCGAGGUAGAGCGACUGAUAGGAUGCGAGGGCUUCACCGCCUGUCAAGUCCUGACAAACUCCGAAUGCGCGCCGGCCAAUCCAUGGAGUAAGGGCACGGGUGCUAAGGUCCGUGCCCGAGAGGAGAAGAAUCCAGACCACCGGCCAAGGUCCCGAAAUGCUGGUUAAGUUAGACUAACGCAGUCCGUCCCCCCAGACAGCUAGGAUGUUGGCUUGGAAGCAGCCAUUCAUUCAAAGAGUGCGUAACAGCUCACUAGUCGAGGGGAUGGGCGUGGAUAAUAAUCGGGUAUGAAACCAGUUACCGAAGCCGUGGGAUAUGAGAAUAUCGGUAGGGGAGCAUUCCAUCCUGCGUCGAAGGCGCCGCGCGAGCGGCUCUGGAGCGGAUGGAAAAGCAAAUGUAGGUAUAAGUAACGAUAAGGAGGGUGCGAUCCCCUCCCGCCGAAAGACCAAGGUUUCCUGAACAACGCCAAUCGGUUCAGGGUGAGUCGGUCCCUAAGCAUAAGCCUAAGGGCGAGGGCGAUGGAUCAAACGGUUAAUAUUCCGUUACUGUCUUGGUGUGUGACGCGGCGACGGAGAAGUGACACGGCCGCCCCCUGACGGAAAAGGGGGUUUAAGCGCAAAGGUUACGAGGGAGGCAGGCAAGCCCACCUCCCGAGCCGAAGCGCGAAAGUACGCGGCGCCCUUCUGGGCAACGCGACAGCGCCGGUAACCAUGCUCCCGAGAAAACCCGCUAAACUCCAGCACCAGGUCAUCCGUACCGUAAACGGACACACGUGGUCGGGUAGAACAUACUAAGGCGCUUGGGAGAUUCACGGUUAAGGAACUAGGCAAAUUGACCCCGUACCUUCGGAACAAGGGGUCCUCGUGUAAACGAGGCGCAGAGAAUAGGUCCAGGCAACUGUUUAACAAAAACACAGGGCUGUGCAAAUUCGAAAGAAGCCGUAUACAGCCUGACACCUGCCCGGUGCCGGAAGGUUAAGAGGAGGGCUCAUACUCAUGUAGAAGGCCCGAAUUGAAGCCCCGGUAAACGGCGGCCGUAACUAUAACGGUCCUAAGGUAGCGAAAUUCCUUGUCGGGUAAGUUCCGACCUGCACGAAUGGUGUAAUGAUCCGGACACUGUCUCAACCGUGAUCCCAGUGAAAUUGUAGUAUCGGUGAAGAUGCCGAUUACCCGCGAUGGGACGAAAAGACCCCGUGAACCUUUACUACAGCUUAACGUUGUACCCGGGCCGUCGAUGUGUAGGAUAGGCCGGAGGCGUAGAAUGAGGCACGCCAGUGCCUUUGGAGCCGUCGUUGAAAUACGGCCCUUUGGCCGUCUGGGUACUAACUUGUUGGAUACAAGGACCGCGUUUGGCGGGUAGUUUGACUGGGGUGGUCGCCUCCAAAAGCGUAACGGAGGCUCCUCAAGGUGCCCUCAGGCCGAUUGGUAACCGGCCGCAGAGUGUAAUGGCAAAAGGGCGCUUGACUGGGAGGCCGACAGGCCGCACAGGCAGGAAACUGGAGCAUAGUGAUCCGGCGGUUCCGCAUGGAAGGUCCGUCGCUCAAAGGAUAAAAGGUACUCCGGGGAUAACAGGCUGAUCCCUCCCAAGAGCUCAUAUCGACGGAGUGGUUUGGCACCUCGAUGUCGGCUCGUCACAUCCUGGGGCUGGAGAAGGUCCCAAGG
rnacentral:rRNA from 1 species